ACCCAUGAGCUGAUCAUGAAGCAUCAUUUUAAAGAAGAGACCAAAAGAAAGAAGAUAAUUGCCCUCAAAUCAAUGACUCAAGAAGAAGAAGAUUCAGAAAAAUCAAAAAAUAGUGAAGAUGAUGAGCAUUUGGUAUUGAUCACAAGAAAAUUUAGAUGGUUUAUGAAGAAAAGAAGAUAAGAAACCAAGAGAAGACCACU
rnacentral:lncRNA from 1 species